rnacentral:rRNA from 1 species
AAUUAAUAUAAUUGUUAUUUUUAAGGGUUAUAUUUAAUAUUUGAAUUAAAUAAAUUUUAGUUAUUGUAUAAUUAAUUGAUUAAAUAAAUUUAACUAUAGUAAAUUAGUACUGUGAAGGAAAUUUAAAAUAUAAAGUAUAAUUAAGAUAAGGAAAUUUUAUUUGUUGUAUCUUGUGUAUCAGAGUAUAUUAAAAUGAAUUAUAAAUUUUUUAUUCUCGAAUUUAAAAGAUCUAAUUAAAUAUAUUAAUUAUUGUGUCAGAAAUAUUAAUAAUAUUUAAUUGGUAAUGAUAUGUUAAUCGUUUUUAAGGAUAUCUAGUUUUUUAAUAAAUGAAUUUAAUUCAGGGGAUAUAAUUUAUUUAAAAUUUAUAUUUUAAAAUAUGUUAUGUUCUAAAUUUUUAAAGGGAUUAUCUUUUAAAAAUAUAUUUAUAAUAUUAAUAGUAUAAAGAGGAUUUUAUAAAUUUAGAAUUUGUUAUUGAUUUAAGGAUGUUAAAAUUUAAUUCUUAUUUUAUAGGAUUUUUAAUUAUUGUUUAAAUUUUAUAUUAAAAUGUUUUAUUGAAUUUUAUAAUAAUAAAAAGUAUAAUUUAAUUAGUAAAGUUUUAUUUUAUUUCAUAUUAUUAAAUUGAAAUAUUAGUAUAAGGAAUUAGGCAAAUAUUUUGCUCGCCUGUUUAUUAAAAACAUGGUUUCUUGAAUUUAUUUAAGAAAUUUAACCUGCCCACUGAAGGAAAUUUAAAGGGCCGCAGUAUUUUGACUGUGCAAAGGUAGCAUAAUCAUUAGUCUUUUAAUUAAAGGCUGGAAUGAAUGGUUGGACGAGGUAAAUACUGUUUUAUAUAAAUUUAAUUGAAUUUAGAUUUUAAGUAAAAAUACUUAAAUUUUAUUAAGGGACGAGAAGACCCUAUAGAGUUUAAUACAUUUAAUAAUUAAUUAAGUUAAUUCGAAAUUUUAAAUUAUUAUGAUUUGUAUUUAAUUGGGGUGAUUGGAAAAUAAAAAUAACUUUUCUUUAUAUUUAAUAUUAUAAGUAAUUAAAUGAUCCAUAUUUAAUGAUUAAAAGAUUAAAUUACCUUAGGGAUAACAGCAUAAUUCUUUUUAAGAGUUCAUAUCGAAAAAAGAGAUUGUGACCUCGAUGUUGGAUUAAGAUUAGUUUUGGGUGUAGAUGUUCAAUAACUUGGUCUGUUCGACCUUUAAAAUCUUACAUGAUCUGAGUUUAAACCGGUGUAAGCCAGGUUGGUUUCUAUCUUUAAUUUAUUAAAAUAUCUUAGUACGAGAGGACCAGAUAUUAAAAAUAAUUUUUGUUUAUUGAAUUUUAUUAAUA